GCGGUCGUAGCUCAGCUGGUAGAGCAUAACCUUGCCAAGGUUAGAGUCGCGCGUUCAAAUCGCGUCGACCGCU
rnacentral:tRNA from 1 species